rnacentral:rRNA from 1 species
CCAGAGAACUUUCCAGAGAUGGAUUGGUGCCUUCGGGAACUCUGAGACAGGUGCUGCAUGGCUGUCGUCAGCUCGUGUUGUGAAAUGUUGGGUUAAGUCCCGCAACGAGCGCAACCCUUAUCCUUUGUUGCCAGCGGUCCGGCCGGGAACUCAAAGGAGACUGCCAGUGAUAAACUGGAGGAAGGUGGGGAUGACGUCGAGUCAUCAUGGCCCUUACGAGUAGGGCUACACACGUGCUACAAUGGCGCAUACAAAGAGAAGCGACCUCGCGAGAGCAAGCGGACCUCAUAAAGUGCGUCGUAGUCCGGAUUGGAGUCUGCAACUCGACUCCAUGAAGUCGGAAUCGCUAGUAAUCGUGGAUCAGAAUGCCACGGUGAAUACGUUCCCGGGCCUUGUACACACCGCCCGUCACACCAUGGGAGUGGGUUGCAAAAGAAGUAGGUAGCUUAACCUUCGGGAGGGCGCUUACCACUUUGUGAUUCAUGACUGGGGUGAAGUCGUAACAAGGUAGGCGUAGAUGA